CUUUGCAGCACUUUUUCUCGGUAUUAAUGCGAAAACAUCUGCUUCGAAACGCUUUAGCAAACUGUCAUGUGUUUUGUUGUAAAAUACGGAGAAUUCGUUGGUUGAAUGUGCACUUGAAUAAUACUAAGAAUUCGCUUAUGAAUUAAUGCGAAAUAAGUUUUACAACAAAUCGAAAAUACAUUUUGUGUGACAGUCUAUUUCGUGCUAUGUAUGUUAGAAGUUGUUUUUGAGCGUUUAAAUAUACAUACAUAUGUAAGUUUUGUUUCGAAUUCAUCUGUUGUCAAUCACAACUUUAUUACAGAUUUUCAAAAUUAAAAAGCAAGGUCUGGAGCUUCUUUAUGAGAAAUUCAGAUGCUUCCGCCACAUGCAAACUCUGCAACUACAAAUUAAAAACGGGUUGGGGUCAAAAUUCUGCUUUUUUGGAAAUUCUGCAUUCAUAAUUCCGGAAGUCGGAACACCGGGAAUCAAAGUUAUGGAAGUCAAUAUUCUGGAAUUCAAAAUUCUGGAUAACGAAAUUCUAAAUUGCAAAAUUCUGAAUGGCAAAAUUCUGUAAUCAUAUGUUUUAUUGCCUAGUAAGUAGUUUUUUACAAUUGCAUGAUUGUAUUUGUUAUUGUUAUUUCUUUGUUUGUUGUUGUUCAUUUACUUUUUUGUACAACCAUAAUGAUUUAGUUGACUAUGUACCUACAUAUACAUACAUAUAUGUACUGACUAAGCAAUGUGUUACUGCAAUUUUAUUAAUAAAAACGUGCUAAAUAUUUUUGUGAAAUGAUGGAAAAUAUAACUGUGGUGAAGUCCAAUAAAGGAAAAGACAUGUUAAACGUCGA